rnacentral:sRNA from 1 species
UUUUCAUCAGGUGUUGGUAUUGGAGUAGCUGUUGGUGCUCUGGUUAUCAUCUUGGUUGACGUCGUAAUAGUUAUUAUAUUCAGAACCAGGCUUACAACAUUAAGACCCAAAAGCAAUGACGACUUAAAACCUGCAACUCGACUACAGAGUUAUGAUGGUGUGAAACAAAUUAAUGAAUACAACCACUCUUACGAACCUUCUAGAUCUACUUUUGAAGAGAAAGGAAAGUCGCAUAAAAAACAGGAUCGAGACGCCAAGGAAACAAUACAGUAUGAGAACACUUCAAAUACAGUUUAUGAGACAAUAGGAUAGGUCUCAAAUUAUCAAGAUCAGACAUUAUUUCAUUAAUUCAAAACUUGUUUUUUUUUUAGAUUAGUUUGUCAUUUUAGCUCUCGUGUUUAUGUGUGUUGUGUUAUCACAGCGUCUUGAGCAUACAUCAUGUUUGUUAACAGCGCUUUAGAAAUAAAUUAAAUUAAAUUAUUA